rnacentral:snoRNA from 1 species
UUGACUGACUAUGGCUACUGUUAUCACAGGAGUCCUGUAUGAUGACUAUGUGUCUUGAACGCUGAGGUCCAU